rnacentral:rRNA from 1 species
UGGGGAAUUUUGCACAAUGGGCGCAAGCCUGAUGCAGCCAUGCCGCGUGUAUGAAGAAGGCCUUCGGGUUGUAAAGUACUUUUAGCGGGGAGGAAGGGAGUAAAGUUAAUACCUUUGCUCAUUGACGUUACCCGCAGAAGAAGCACCGGCUAACUCCGUGCCAGCAGCCGCGGUAAUACGGAGGGUGCAAGCGUUAAUCGGAAUUACUGGGCGUAAAGCGCACGCAGGCGGUUUGUUAAGUCAGAUGUGAAAUCCCCGGGCUCAACCUGGGAACUGCAUCUGAUACUGGCAAGCUUGAGUCUCGUAGAGGGGGGUAGAAUUCCAGGUGUAGCGGUGAAAUGCGUAGAGAUCUGGAGGAAUACCGGUGGCGAAGGCGGCCCCCUGGACGAAGACUGACGCUCAGGUGCGAAAGCGUGGGGAGCAAACAGG